UUUAAACAACCUGCACUCUCUUUUCAUGUGGCCUAUCCCGCCACAAUGGUAACAUUCUAGGUCCUUUCUUGUCUUGGACCUUCCUCUCGAGCCAUCUCUUGACCUGCCCUUUGACUUGUCUCGCCUGUGGAAUUUUCUAUUGUUAGUUCUUCCACGAUACUCUGAGACGAGGGCUUCUGACUCGGCUACUACACCUUGUUCUUUCCUC
rnacentral:lncRNA from 1 species